UACGUAGGGGGCAAGCGUUGUCCGGAUUUAUUGGGCGUAAAGAGCGUGUAGGCGGCCAGGUAGGUCCGUUGUGAAAACUCGAGGCUCAACCUCGAGACGUCGAUGGAAACCAUCUGGCUAGAGUACGGAAGAGGAGAGUGGAAUUCCUGGUGUAGCGGUGAAAUGCGCAGAUAUCAGGAAGAACACCCGUGGCGAAGGCGGCUCUCUGGGACGGUACUGACGCUGAGACGCGAAAGCGUGGGGAGCGAACAGG
rnacentral:rRNA from 1 species